rfam:Catenulispora sp. 13_1_20CM_3_70_7 13_1_20cm_3_scaffold_6692, whole genome shotgun sequence.
UCGGAGUCGCCCGGCGGUGGGAGGCUCCAAACCGCCCCGCGCUGCGUUGGCUGAAGACCGUCGUGGUGAGCGGUCGGGGAAAAGGCGUCCUGUGAGGCGUCAGGU